rnacentral:rRNA from 1 species
GAUGAACGCUGGCGGCGUGCCUAAUACAUGCAAGUCGAGCGAACAGACGAGGAGCUUGCUCCUCUGACGUUAGCGGCGGACGGGUGAGUAACACGUGGAUAACCUACCUAUAAGACUGGGAUAACUUCGGGAAACCGGAGCUAAUACCGGAUAACAUGUUGAACCGCAUGGUUCAACAGUGAAAGACGGUUUUGCUGUCACUUAUAGAUGGAUCCGCGUCGCAUUAGCUAGUUGGUAAGGUAACGGCUUACCAAGGCAACGAUGCGUAGCCGACCUGAGAGGGUGAUCGGCCACACUGGAACUGAGACACGGUCCAGACUCCUACGGGAGGCAGCAGUAGGGAAUCUUCCGCAAUGGGCGAAAGCCUGACGGAGCAACGCCGCGUGAGUGAAGAAGGUCUUCGGAUCGUAAAACUCUGUUAUUAGGGAAGAACAAAUGUGUAAGUAACUAUGCACGUCUUAACGGUACCUAAUCAGAAAGCCACGGCUAACUACGUG